rnacentral:rRNA from 1 species
UGAGCAAUCUGCCCUUGACUCUGGGAUAACUUCGGGAAACCGGAGCUAAUACCGGAUAUGACGCAUAACCGCAUGGUUUGUGUGUGGAAAGAUUUAUUGGUCAGGGAUGAGCUCGCGGCCUAUCAGCUUGUUGGUGGGGUAAUGGCCUACCAAGGCGACGACGGGUAGCCGGCCUGAGAGGGCGACCGGCCACACUGGGACUGAGACACGGCCCAGACUCCUACGGGAGG